UACGAAGGGGGCUAGCGUUGUUCGGAAUUACUGGGCGUAAAGCGCACGUAGGCGGAUCGAUCAGUCAGGGGUGAAAUCCCAGAGCUCAACUCUGGAACUGCCUUUGAUACUGUCGGUCUAGAGUAUGGAAGAGGUGAGUGGAAUUCCGAGUGUAGAGGUGAAAUUCGUAGAUAUUCGGAGGAACACCAGUGGCGAAGGCGGCUCACUGGUCC
rnacentral:rRNA from 1 species